AGGGGCAUAGUUUAAAGGUAGAAUAGAGGUCUCCAAAACCUUUGGUGUGGGUUCGAUUCCUACUGCCCCUGCCA
rnacentral:tRNA from 1 species